CUCCAUUCUCCGAUGAGAGAGAGGCAGUCCUGUCGGAUGUGCCGCGGCGCACCUCGCCGAGUGUUGCACGGCGUGCUGCUACACGCGGACUGUUUUCCAAUUUUUGCACAUGGUCUUGCACUUGCUGUCCCUUUUUUCUUCUUUUGUGAUUCAUCUCGUUAAUUUCCUUGAAUAUCGUUCUUUUAUCUUUGAUAGUAAGACCGGAGGAUUGUUAAAUUAUUUUUUUGCGAUUUAUAACAUGUUUAUAGGGGGAAAUAUUGGAUAUAAUAUCAAAAUUAAAUUUGAUGUUUUAUUGAAUAUCCAUCUAUAAAGGGAUAUAAUGUCUGCGAUUCUCAUUUUUAAAACUUAUUUUGCAAGAAGACUAUACAUGUUCUGCUUUAUGGAAAAAUAAAAUUGUUCGUAUAUUUAAAUAUGUAAAAAAAUAUUCAGAUAUGUAAAUUUAAUUCCGUUAUAUUUGAUGUAUAUUUCACACUGUUUUAUUCACAGGCGUCCACGUGUCUAUGUAUCUAUACAUAUAUGUAUAAUAAAAUAUCGUUAAUAUCAUCACGAAACUGACAGUGUCUUCAUUCUAAAAGAAGUUCUGACAUCGCGUAUGUGGUAGCAGUAUAGAUGUCCAUGUAGUUAUUGUUAUCGAUUCGACCUACUCCUAAGACCAGACUAAAGCCGACCUGUUCUGAUAUAUUCAUCAUGCUCAGCAUAAUUUCCCAUCCUUCUGUUUAAGGUACUCUUGAACAGUUUUCAAAGUGCCGGUACUCUUCCUCGCAAAUAAUUAAAUAUACUAAAUGUUAACCGAAAUCUUCCCAAAUUAUUUGGUCCUUUCUAUCAGAAAUUUGUAAUUACCGCGAUAUUAAACCUCUUACAGUUUGUUCAAUAUGGUAAAAUGUAUAAUUUAUUAUGUUAAUGUACCGCCAUAAGAUUCAUUAUUAUGUUUCAUUUGCACAUGAUUAAUUAUAAAAUAUAUCUAAGAAUAAAUACGAAUAACGUUA